GUAAAAAGUGGAACUGCACACCAAAAUACAAUACAAUACUACUGGUAUUUCUUGAAGAACUCCCUUUAUCAUUGCUUGUAGGGCAACUCUACUACUGAUAAACUUCUCAGCUUUUAUCUGGGGACUGAGUGCUUGGAACAACUUGAGAACUAAACAAAGGUCCCUGCCCACAUAAUGCCUACAUUCUGACGC